CAGCCGCCACGGGAAUACGUAGGGUGCAAGCGUUAAUCGGAAUUACUAGACGUAAAGCGUGCGUAGGCGGUUCGUUAAGUCUGUUGUGAAAGCCCCGGGCUCAACCUGGGAAUGGCAAUGGAUACUGGCGAGCUAGAGUGUGUCAGAGGAUGGUGGAAUUCCCGGUGUAGCGGUGAAAUGCGUAGAGAUCGGGAGGAACAUCAGUGGCGAAGGCGGCCAUCUGGGACAACACUGACGCUGAGGCACGAAAGCGUGGGGAGCAAACAGGAUUAGAGACCCGCGUAGUCCCUGUCUCUUAUAC
rnacentral:rRNA from 1 species